rnacentral:tRNA from 1 species
UCCCCAGUGACUUAAACGGUAAAGAAUCUGGCUGCAAUGCAGGAGACCCAGGUCCGAUCCUUGGGUGGGGAA